GCCAAUAUUAUUUUAAUAAAGUGCUAAAAUCACAAAAAAUAUCAGACAUUCAAUUCAAAAGAGAUUUUAGGUCUGGUUUUCAAACUGGACAUCAGCCCUGAGUGAAUCUCUCCCAUAUGUCAAUGUGGCAACCUGGGGAAAGUUGAACUCUUGCAAUGCAGUUUUUUUUAUUUUUUUAUUCUGGAUUUCCCUUAAAGAGAUCCCUUCAGACACCAUGCCAUCUUUCACUAUUUCAGAAUAAAUUAGCUGCUGGGUUUCCUUUAAAGGCAUAUGACUUAAAGCUGGGUUUGUAUAUUAACCCCAGUAUAAUCACUUGAUGAAUCCCAACCACUGAAUAUAAUACAUUCGUAUAAAAUGGAAAUUCACAUUAUUUACCUCCGUGAAGAUAAUUUCAAUAUCAACAGUAUGACAACGGAACCUGGUAAAUGACAAAAGCACGUCAUCAUUUGCCAAAUAAUAACUCAGAAUUUACUAGAUUUUCAAUGUGAAGCCCUUUCAGAUUAAACAUAUUGAAGAUCUGCGUGACAUAAAGUAAUGUGGCUCUCUCGUCCACGCGCACAGUGUGUACAACACACAGAAAUGGACACAUUGUUCUAGCUGUGGUUGCACAUGGUAGCUGACCGUUACACAUACAAUGGCUGAUACUUUAAAGUUUAAUCCCACAAAAAGAGUAUGAUAAAUAAAACAGAAACAAAAACAAAUAAAUAAAGAUGGCUUGCAGUCCACGUGUGUCUCUAGAGA